CGUAGGUGGCAAGCGUUGUCCGGAUUUAUUGGGUUUAAAGGGUGCGUAGGUGGUCUUGUAAGUCAGUGGUGAAAUACGGCAGCUCAACUGUCGAGGUGCCAUUGAUACUGCAAGACUUGAGUACAGACGAGGUAGGCGGAAUUGACGGUGUAGCGGUGAAAUGCUUAGAUAUCGUCAAGAACACCGAUAGCGAAGGCAGCUUACUAGACUGUAACUGACACUGAGGCACGAAAGUGUGGGGAUCAAACAGGAUUAGAUACCCUGGUAGUCCACACUGUAAACGAUGAUUACUCGAUGUUGGCGAUACACAGCCAGCGUCUUAGCGAAAGCGAUAAGUAAUCCACCUGGGGAGUACGCCCGCAAGGGUG
rnacentral:rRNA from 1 species